CCCUUAGAUGUUCUGGGCUGCACGCGCGCGACAAUGACGUUUGCAACGAGAUUGCGAGGCCGUCAGGUCGAGCUGAUCUUGCAAGCUGCGUCGUGAUAGGGACAGUCGAUUGCAAUUAUUCGACUCGAACGAGGAAUUCCUUGUAAUCGCGCAUCAUCAGUGCGCGCUGAAUACGUCCCUGCCCUUUGUACACACCGCCCGUCGCUACUACUGAUUGGGUGUUCAAGUGAGAUGCUUAGACCCUUGUUGCAUGGUUCAUUAUUGUGCUCCGAAAGGAAAAAGUUUCAAGCUUGAGUGUCUAGAGGAAGUAAAAGUCGUAACA
rnacentral:rRNA from 1 species